CAUUUAAAAAAAGAGGCCAAAAAAAAACAUGGCAAUAUGAAAUGCAAUUGAUUGAGCUUUAUUUAAAUUUUUUUGUCACAAACAAAUUAAACUGAAUUGAGGAUUGCAUUGCCA